UCCUGGCUCAGGAUGAACGCUAGCGGCAGGCUUAACACAUGCAAGUCGAGGGUAUAGUUCUCGGAAUUAGAGACCGGCGCACGGGUGCGUAACGCGUAUGCAAUCUACUUCACAGAGGGAUAGCCCAGAGAAAUUUGGAUUAAUACCUCAUAGUAUAGCAGUUUCGCAUGAAACCACUAUUAAAGUCACAACGGUGAAAGAUGAGCAUGCGUCCCAUUAGCUAGUUGGUAAGGUAACGGCUUACCAAGGCAACGAUGGGUAGGGGGUCCUGAGAGGGAGAUCCCCCACACUGGUACUGAGACACGGACCAGACUCCUACGGGAGGCAGCAGUGAGGAAUAUUGGACAAUGGGCGCAAGCCUGAUCCAGCCGUGCCGCGUGCAGGAUGACGGUCCUAUGGAUUGUAAACUGCUUUUAUACAGGAAGAACACUACUUCGUGAAGUAGCUUGACGGUACUGUAAGAAUAAGGAUCGGCUAACUCCGUG
rnacentral:rRNA from 1 species